rnacentral:lncRNA from 1 species
UUAGACCAAGAAACCCAAUUCCGACCAGAGUCAGGCAGAAUAUUUCUACUGUAAGAAGCAGGGGCACUGGAAGAGAAAUUAUCCUCAAUACAUUGCCUCUCUGGAUCCGAACAGGCUGAGAAAGAAGUAAGUUGUUACUGGAUAAGGUAAUUAUAUGACAACACCUAAUAAUUUCUCAAUUUGUGAUUCUACUAUCUGGGUAUUAGAUACCAGAAGCUCUUUUAAUAUUUAUAAUUUAUUGCAGGGUCUGCAGGUCAGUAGGUGGUUUGAAGAAGGCAAAAAAUUUCUUAAUGUUGGAGAUGGA